GACAGAGGGUGCAAACGUUGUUCGGAAUUACUGGGCGUAAAGCGUGUGUAGGCGGCUUUGCAAGUCGGAUGUGAAAGCCCCGGGCUCAACCCGGGAAGUGCACUCGAUACUGCAGAGCUUGAGUAUCGGAGAGGUUGGUGGAAUUCUCGGUGUAGAGGUGAAAUUCGUAGAUAUCGAGAGGAACACCGGUGGCGAAGGCGGCCAACUGGACGAAUACUGACGCUGAGACACGCAAGCGUGGGGAGCAAACAGG
rnacentral:rRNA from 1 species